CACUUCUAAGGAAGGCAGCAGGCGCGCAAAUUACCCAAUCCUGACUCAGGGAGGUAGUGACAAGAAAUAACAAUAAACCGGCUUAUGCCGGUUUAAUUGGAAUGAGUACAAUUUAAACAUCUUAACGAGGAACAAUUGGAGGGCAAGUCUGGUGCCAGCAGCCGCGGUAAUUCCAGCUCCAAUAGCGUAUACUAAAGUUGUUGCAGUUAAAAAGCUCGUAGUUGGAUUUCUGUGGGGACGGAGCGGCCGGCCGCAACUCGCGGUUCGAGCUAGCGCUUUCCCUACAUCCUGCCGCGAACCGUGCUACCAUUAAUUUGGUGGCGCUGGGGAUCGGCUCGAUUACUUUGAGAAAAAUAGAGUGUUCAAAGCAGGCCACACGCCUUGAAUAAGUUAGCAUGGAAUAAUAACUAAGGACUUCGGUUCUAUUUUGUUGGUGUUCGGGACUGAAGUAAUGAUUGAUAGGGACAGUUGGGGCGGUCUGUAUUCCAAAGCGAGAGGUGAAAUUCUUAGACCUUCGGAAGACAAACAGCUGCGAAAGCGUUCCGCAAGGAUGUUCCCUUUGAUCAAGAACGAAAGUUGGGGGAUCGAAGACGAUCAGAUACCGUCGUAGUCUCAACUAUAAACUAUACCAGCUAGGGAUCGGCCAACGUUAUUCUAUACCGACUUGGUCGGCACCUUAUGAGAAAUCAAAGCAUCUGGGUUCCGGGGGGAGUAUGGUCGCAAGGCUGAAACUUAAAGGAAUUGACGGAAGGGCACCACCAGCCGUGGAGCCUGUGGCUUAAUUUGACUCAACACGGGAAAACUUACCAGGUCCAGACAUAGUAAGGAUUGACAGAUUGAUAGCUCUUUCUUGAUUCUGUGGGUGGUGGUGCAUGGCCGUUCUUAGUUGGUGGAGUGAUUUGUCUGGUUAAUUCCGUUAACGAACGAGACCCCAGCCUGCUAAAUAGCGCGUGUGAGCUUUGCUCGCAGCGAGCUUCUUAGAGGGACUAUGAUGCGCGAUAGCACAUGGAAGUUUGGGGCAAUAACAGGUCUGUGAUGCCCUUAGAUGUUCUGGGCCGCACACGGGCUACACUGGCGCCUGCAACGAGCAUAUCAGCUGGCCCGAGAGGGUCUUGGCUAAUCUUUUGAACCGGCGCCGUGCUUGGGAUUGACCUUUGCAAUUGUUGGUCAUGCAACGAGGAAUGCCUUGUAAACGCGAGUCAUCAGCUCGCAUUGAAUACGUCCCUGCCCUUUGUACACACCGCCCGUCGCUCCUACCGAUGAAUGUUCCGAUGAAAUUUUCGGAGAGUGCCUGUGAACUUGGCUCUGCCUUGCGAACGGGAAGCUCAAAGUCACUUAAAUCUGAACAUUUC
rnacentral:rRNA from 1 species